GGGGGAUAUUGCACAAUGGACGGAAGUCUGAUGCAGCGACGCCGCGUGGGGGAUGAAGGCUUUCGGGUUGUAAACCUCUUUUAUUCCUGAACAAGGCUUGGAUUGUUGUCUGUGUUGAGGGUAGGGGGUGAAUAAGCGCCGGCUAACUACGUGCCAGCAGCCGCGGUAAUACGUAGGGCGGGAGCGUUGUCCGGAUUUAUUGGGCGUAAAGAGCUCGUAGGCGGUUUGUUGCGUCUGCUGUGAAAACGCGGGGCUUAACUUCGCGCGUGCAGUGGGUACGGGCAGGCUAGAGUGCGGUAGGGGAGAUUGGAAUUCCUGGUGUAGCGGUGGAAUGCGCAGAUAUCAGGAGGAACACCGAUGGCGAAGGCAGGUCUCUGGGCCGUUACUGACGCUGAGGAGCGAAAGCGUGGGGAGCGAACA
rnacentral:rRNA from 1 species